rnacentral:rRNA from 1 species
GGGUCCGCACAAGCGGUGGAGCAUGUGGUUUAAUUCGAUGAUACGCGAGGAACCUUACCAGGGCUUAAAUGUAGUGGGACAGGUCUAGAGAUAGACCCUUCUUCGGACUCAUUACAAGGUGCUGCAUGGUUGUCGUCAGCUCGUGCCGUGAGGUGUCAGGUUAAGUCCUAUAACGAGCGCAACCCCUAUCGUUAGUUGCCAGCGGGUCAUGCCGGGAACUCUAGCGAAACUGCCGGUGCAAACCGAGAGGAAGGUGGGGAUGACGUCAAAUCAUCACGGCCCUUACGUCCUGGGCCACACACGUGCUACAAUGGCCGGUACAGAGAGCAGCCACUACGCGAGUAGGAGCGAAUCUACAAAACCGGUCUCAGUUCGGAUCGCAGUCUGCAACUCGACUGCGUGAAGCUGGAAUC